UACGAAGGGGGCUAGCGUUGCUCGGAAUCACUGGGCGUAAAGCGCACGUAGGCGGCUUCUUAAGUCAGGGGUGAAAUCCUGGAGCUCAACUCCAGAACUGCCUUUGAUACUGAGAAGCUUGAGUCCGGGAGAGGUGAGUGGAACUGCGAGCGUAGAGGUGAAAUUCGUAGAUAUUCGCAAGAACACCAGUGGCGAAGGCGGCUCACUGGCCCGGUACUGACGCUGAGGUGCGAAAGCGUGGGGAGCAAACAGG
rnacentral:rRNA from 1 species